UUAAUAGGCCACAGGUGUCUCCAAUAAGGAGGAUUGCUACAAAAGAGUGGGUUAGCUGGGUGAGGAGGGAGUUGGAGUUUGUUGGUUGUGCUGUGGAGAAGGUGUCAGUGCUGUGAGGAGUUGCCUGUGAGAAAUCAACGAGAAGCACUUCAGCAACUUUUCACCAAAGUACAGUGAAAACACCACCCCCCAAAUCCAUCCAAGAUGAUGAACUAUCUCUGCAUGCCAGUCAUAGCUCUAGAUGCCUCAAGUGUCAAGGUCCUGGCACAGGUUGCCCAGAGAAGCUGUGGCUGCUCCAUCCCUGGAAGUGUUCAAGGCUAAGCUGGACAGGACUUGGAGCAACCUGGUGGAAGGUGUCUCUGCCCAUGGCUGGAGGGUUGAACUGGAUGAAUUCUAAGUUCCAUUCCAAUCCAAAUCAUUUGAUGGUGAUACUCUGUCUCUAUACCAGCAUGAAAUGCCCCAACAACAAUUUCUUCUUGCAAAGGAACCCACAAAUACACCUGAAGGUAUUCAUAUGAUGAAGUGCUGAAAUAUAUGAAUUCAAUAAAAGAAUCUGAAGAAAAACAAGUUGAAAUUUGGGAAAGCAGCAAGAGAAGAAUGUCAGGAAUGAGCACACUGAUUACCAAAUUUCUUCCUUCUAAAUUUCUCACACCACCCCUAGAUAUCCCCACCACGUGCUUCAACUUGCCAACCUUAAUCAAUCCCUUCUCAUAGAAACAUGAAAAGCUUUAAGAUGUUAAACAUUUUGCUGUCUUCAAAGAACUGUCAAAUAGUCCACUGUAGUUGUUCAUUCCUUUGCUCCAGCCAUCACUAAAGAGGCAAACAAAAGUCUUACAUAAAACAUCAGAAUAAAUUGGAUCAGAACUCAACAUAUAGUGAAUCCAUUAGGUGCAUUUCUUGGUAUCUAUUUUCGGCUAGGAAGAGCAUAUACCUUCACCUAAAACUGAAAUUGAAACUUAGGGCAAUGUUCUUAGUCAUAAGUGUGUAAGACAAUUCUUGCUCUCUCUUACAUUCUCAUGGCCUUCCAGUCCUACAUAUACCAUGGACACUCAAAGCACUGCAUGAGCCCAGGUGACAAUGAAAAUUUGAGACAAGCUAGAAGAGAAGAACUGUGUGUGUCACCUGUUUGGACCCUUCACAAUGGGGUAUGGAAAUAUAGACCAUUCCUUAUGCUGACUUAUGCAAAGCACAACAGACUGUCCAUUGCCAAUAACAUCAGUAUUAAGCCUCUUAUUGUCAUCCUGUAGCAAUGGGGAACUUUCACAACUUAGAGCAUCACUUCUUCACUUUUGUUGAUUGCUGUGGUUUCAUUAAAACAAGAGUAAAAUCUCCCCAGUAGUUAUCAAAACCUUAGCUACCUACAAUGACUGGCAGGGUUAUUACUUAACUAAAGAAAGGAAUGUGGAAUGUUUCAUUUAAACAUAUUAUUCUCUUCCAUCCUGAGCACUAUGGACAUCAGAAUCCAAACUUAUUUCA